rnacentral:rRNA from 1 species
GACGAACGCUGGCGGCGUGCUUAACACAUGCAAGUCGAACGGAAAGGCCCCUUUGGGGGUACUCGAGUGGCGAACGGGUGAGUAACACGUGAGUAACCUGCCCUUGACUUCGGGAUAACUUCAGGAAACUGGGGCUAAUACCGGAUAGGAAUCCUUGCUGCAUGGUGGGGGUUGGAAAGCUUCGGCGGUUUUGGAUGGACUCGCGGCUUAUCAGCUUGUUGGUGUGGUAGUGGCUUACCAAGGCUUUGACGGGUAGCCGGCCUGAGAGGGCGACCGGCCACAUUGGGACUGAGAUACGGCCCAGACUCCUACGGGAGGCAGCAGUGGGGAAUAUUGCACAAUGGGCGGAAGCCUGAUGCAGCAACGCCGCGUGCGGGAUGACGGCCUUCGGGUUGUAAACCGCUUUCAGCAGGGGCGAAGCUUGUGGUGACGGUACCUGCAGAAGAAGCACCGGCUAACUACGUG